UCCGGUUUGUCACCGGCAGUCUCCCAUGAGUCCCCACCAUAACGUGCUGGCAACAUGGAACGAGGGUUGCGCUCGUUGCGGGACUUAACCCAACAUCUCACGACACGAGCUGACGACAGCCAUGCACCACCUGUCACCGGCCCAAAAGGACCCCACAUCUCUGCAGGUAAACCGGCAAUGUCAAGCCUUGGUAAGGUUCUUCGCGUUGCGUCGAAUUAAGCAACAUGCUCCGCCGCUUGUGCGGGCCCCCGUCGAUUCCUUUGAGUUUUAGCCUUGCGGCCGUACUCCCCAGGCGGGGUGCUUAAUGCGUUAGCUUCGGCACGGAAGGAGUCGACACCUCCCACACCUAGUACCCACCGUUUACGGCGUGGACUAC
rnacentral:misc_RNA from 1 species